rnacentral:rRNA from 1 species
UACAGGGGGGGCAAGCGUUGUUCGGAAUUACUGGGCGUAAAGCGCACGUAGGCGGCUUUGUAAGUUAGAGGUGAAAGCCCGGGGCUCAACCCCGGAAUUGCCUUUAAGACUGCAUCGCUAGAAUUGUGGAGAGGUAAGUGGAAUUCCGAGUGUAGAGGUGAAAUUCGUAGAUAUUCGGAAGAACACCAGUGGCGAAGGCGACUUACUGGACACAUAUUGACGCUGAGGUGCGAAAGCGUGGGGAGCAAACAGG